UACGUAGGUGGCAAGCGUUAUCCGGAAUUAUUGGGCGUAAAGAGCGCGCAGGUGGUUAAUUAAGUCUGAUGUGAAAGCCCACGGCUUAACCGUGGAGGGUCAUUGGAAACUGGUUGACUUUAGUGCAGAAGAGGGAAGUGGAAUUCCAUGUGUAGCGGUGAAAUGCGUAGAGAUAUGGAGGAACACCAGUGGCGAAGGCGGCUUCCUGGUCUGCAACUGACACUGAGGCGCGAAAGCGUGGGGAGCAAACAGG
rnacentral:rRNA from 1 species